GGGCCCGCACAAGCGGUGGAGCAUGUGGUUUAAUUCGAUGCAACGCGAAGAACCUUACCUGGUCUUGACAUCCUGCGAACUUUCUAGAGAUAGAUUGGUGCCUUCGGGAACCGAGUGACAGGUGCUGCAUGGCUGUCGUCAGCUCGUGUCGUGAGAUGUUGGGUUAAGUCCCGUAACGAGCGCAACCCUUGUCCUUAGUUGCCAGCACAUUAUGGUGGGGACUCUAAAUAGACUGCCCGGAAUAACCGGGAGGAAGGUGGGGAUGAUGUCAAGUCAGUAUGUCCCUUAUACCCAGGGCUACACACGUGUUACAAUGGACAGUACAGAAAGUUGCAAUUCCGCGAGGAGGAGCCAA
rnacentral:rRNA from 1 species